GACGAACGCUGGCGGCGUGCUUAACACAUGCAAGUCGAACGGAAAGGCCCUGCUUGCAGGGUACUCGAGUGGCGAACGGGUGAGUAACACGUGGGUGAUCUGCCCUGCACUUCGGGAUAAGCCUGGGAAACUGGGUCUAAUACCGGAUAGGAGCCAUUUUUAGUGUGAUGGUUGGAAAGUUUUUUCGGUGUAGGAUGAGCUCGCGGCCUAUCAGCUUGUUGGUGGGGUAAUGGCCUACCAAGGCGGCGGCGGGUAGCCGGCCUGAGAGGGUGGACGGCCACAUUGGGACUGAGAUACGGCCCAGACUCCUACGGGAGGCAGCAGUGGGGAAUAUUGCACAAGGGGCGCAAGCCUGAUGCAGCGACGCCGCGUGGGGGAGGACGGCCUUCGGGUUGUAAACUCCUUUCGCUAGGGACGAAGCUUUUUGUGACGGUACCUAGAGAAGAAGCACCGGCUAACUACGUG
rnacentral:rRNA from 1 species